rnacentral:rRNA from 1 species
UGGGGAAUUGUUCGCAAUGGGCGCAAGCCUGACGACGCAACGCCGCGUGGAGGAUGAAGACCUUCGGGUCGUAAACUCCUUUCGAUCGAGACGAACGGCUCCCGGGUGAACAAUCCGGGAGAGUGACGGUACCGAGAGAAGAAGCCCCGGCUAACUCCGUGCCAGCAGCCGCGGUAAUACGGGGGGGGCAAGCGUUGUUCGGAAUUACUGGGCGUAAAGGGCUCGUAGGCGGCCAACUAAGUCAAACGUGAAAUCCCUCGGCUUAACCGGGGAACUGCGCUUGAUACUGGAUGGCUUGAGAUUGGGAGAGGGAUGCGGAAUUCCAGGUGUAGCGGUGAAAUGCGUAGAUAUCUGGAGGAACACCGGUGGCGAAGGCGACAUCCUGGACCAAUACUGACGCUGAGGAGCGAAAGCCAGGGGAGCAAACGG